ACUCAAAGGAAUUGACGGGGGCCCGCACAAGCAGUGGAGCAUGUGGUUUAAUUCGAAGCAACGCGAAGAACCUUACCAAGACUUGACAUCCCGCUGACCGGUUUAGAGAUAGACCUUCCCUUCGGGGCAGCGGUGACAGGUGGUGCAUGGUUGUCGUCAGCUCGUGUCGUGAGAUGUUGGGUUAAGUCCCGCAACGAGCGCAACCCCUAAAUUGUGUUGCCAUCAUUUAGUUGGGCACUCACAAUUGACUGCCGGUGACAAACCGGAGGAAGGCGGGGAUGACGUCAAAUCAUCAUGCCCCUUAUGUCUUGGGCUACACACGUGCUACAAUGGGCGGUACAAAGGGUUGCGAUGCCGCGAGGCGGAGCCAAUCCCAAAAAGCCGCUCACAGUUCGGAUUGCAGGCUGCAACUCGCCUGCAUGAAGCUGGAAUUGCUAGUAAUCGCGGAUCAGCAUGCCGCGGUGAAUUCGUUCCCGGGCCUUGUACACACCGCCCGUCACACCAUGGGAGUUGGCAACACCCGAAGCCGGUGAGGUAACCGCAAGGAGCCAGCCGUCUAAGGUGGGGUCGAUGACUGGGGUGAAGUCGUAACAAGGUAGC
rnacentral:rRNA from 1 species